AAGAUUAGCUCAGCUGGGAGAGCAUCUGCCUUACAAGCAGGAGGUCACAGGUUCGAUCCCUGUAUCUUCC
rnacentral:tRNA from 1 species